UCCUAAAAAGCUAGCCCAACCUAAAAAUUAAACAAUCCCCUUUAAAUUAAUUCACCACAAAGCGACAAACAAAACAUUUUACCUCCCCAGUACUUAGGCGAUAGAAAAGGAGCCCUGGAGCAAUAGAAAAAGUACCGCAAGGGAAAGCUGAAAGAGAAAUGAAACAACUACCCCAAGCUAAGAAAAGCAGAGCUAACCCCUCGUACCUUUUGCAUCAUGAUUUAGCGAGAUUCCCUGAGCGAAGUGAACUUCAGUUCAGCGCCCCGAAACCAGACGAGCUACUUCAAGACAGCCUGCCAGGCAAACGCCUGUAGGGCACACCCGUCUCUGUCGCAAAAGAGUGGGAGGAUCUUCAAGUAGCGGUGACAAACCUAUCGAGCCUGGUUAUAGCUGGUUCUCUAAAAAGUGAAUUUAAGUUCAGCCUCCUGACUCCCCCAACCAAUGGCACCCAUGCCUCUAAAGACCAACGGCGAUCAAGAAAGUUAGUCAAAGGGGGUACAGCCCCUUUGAAAAAGGACACAACCUCCAGGGGAGACUAAAGAUCAUACCCAUAUAAGGAAACUUGUUUAGUGGGCCCAAAAGCAGCCACCUAGAAAGAAAGCGUUAUAGCUCCUGUAUUCCCCCACCCAUUAAUAUCGAACCCCACUCUUCACUCCCCCACCACUAUUAGAGCCUCCCAUAACCCCUGGGACAGACCCUGCUAAAAUGAGUAAUAAGAGGGAAACGCCCCUCUCCCCCACACAAGUGUAAAUCGGAACGGACCCACCCCCGAUAACUAACGAGCCCCUCUGAGGGAAAUGUAAAACCACACAAAUGGCAAGAAAAAUUAACACAUUAAUUUCGUUAACCCUACACAGGUGUGUACCCCCGGAAAGACUUAACCAAAGGGAAGGAACUCGGCAAACACAAGCCUCGCCUGUUUACCAAAAACAUCGCCUCUUGCUAUAGACGUAACGAAUAAGAGGUCCCGCCUGCCCAGUGACUAUACGUUAAACGGCCGCGGUAUAUUGACCGUGCAAAGGUAGCGCAAUAAAUUGUCUCUUAAUUAGAGACUAGUAUGAAAGGCAUCACGAGGGCUUAGCUGUCUCCCCUCUAAAGUCAAUAAAAUUGAUCUCCCCGUGCAGAAGCGGGGAUACGCGCGUAAGACGAGAAGACCCUAUGGAGCUUUAGAUAUAAAGCAACCCACGUCAAGCCCCCCUUUAAAGGAAAUGAACAAAAUGAGCCUUGCUGAUAUGUCUUCGGUUGGGGCGACCACGGGGAAAGACAAAACCCCCACAUGGAUCGGGGCCACUCAGCCCUAAAACAUAGACCCACAGGUCAAAUCAAGAGCAUUUCUGACCACUAAAGACCCGGCACAAGCCGAUCAAUGGACCUAGUUACCCUAGGGAUAACAGCGCAAUCCCCUCCAAGAGCCCUUAUCGACGAGGGGGUUUACGACCUCGAUGUUGGAUCAGGACAUCCUAAUGGUGCAGCCGCUAUUAAGGGUUCGUUUGUUCAACGAUUAAAGUCCUACGCGAUCUGAGUUCAGACCGGAGUAAUCCAGGUCAGUUUCUAUCUACGCAUUGAUCUUUUUUAGUACGAAAGGACCAAAAAGAAGAAGCCUCUAUUAACGACACGCUUCACCUUCAACCAAUGAACCCAAAUAAAAUGGGAAAAAGGCAAAUUCCCCACACCCUAAACUAGGGUUA
rnacentral:rRNA from 1 species